rnacentral:lncRNA from 1 species
UGGGGUGAGCUAUACAAUGGGUUGAUCUGUAGAAUGGAGUGAGCUGGACAAUGGGGCUACUCACCCCACCCACCUUGCAAAGUGAUGCAGGACAGGAAAUGGGUUAAUAGAAGCUCGGAUUUAGAAGAGUGCCUGGCACGCCUAAGGGCUCAAGCCGUCUGUGUAAUUAUCUUAAACUUUUUCAUUUCGGAAAUGAAACAGCUCCUCCCUUCACCGCCACCUUGGCUAUUUCUGGGACCAAAGGAAUCCUUGAAGCUGACCGGGCAGGAGAGUCCACGCUGGGAUGUCCAUCAGAAGGCCCCUGCUGAGUAGUUGGCAGGGUGGCUGCACAUAAUGGAAAGCACAUAAGCUUGAAGCCAGACAGAUGGGAGUUCUAACCCCAGCCCUGCCACUUAUUCCCAGGUGACACUGAGUGGAAAUUAGGCCAAAAUAAAUACUACUUUCUGCUUAAAAAAAUGCAGUGAUGUCCAAAGAGAAGGGAGGAGGAAGGAUGAAAGGAAAGACAGAGGAGGAAGGAAGAGAAGAAAGAAGAGUGGCCGGCACAAGGGCUUGGAGAUCCCUGAAGCUGUUUUCCUUUCUCCUCACCCCCACAGGGAGGGAUCCACAUCGUUGUGGGGUUUUUGUUGUUGUUGUUUUUGUUUUUGUUUUUUUGCCUCCCUUCAUCAAAGCAUUCAUUGUAGUGUAUGGUAAUUGUCUCUGAAUGUAACAGCCUCUCUUCCCUGAGGCCUGGGUCUGCUUGUUUCAUACCAUCUUCUCCUUAACACACAGUGCUUGGUAAACAAUACCUAUUAAUAAACAUUUGUUGAAUGAAUGAAUGAGUGAAUGAACGAAUACUGCACUCUUUCGACUUGGUUAGAGACAUGUCUUGUAGGCUGGCAUGUACUUCACACAGCACUCUUAGGUAGAGUUUGUAUAUGUUAUUCCAUUGAAGGGAAAAGGAAGCCAGACUGUGGGGAGAAAAAAAAAAAAAAAA